CGAGGGUAAACUCGGAUUAGAUACCCUCUUAUAGAAUUUAUAAAAUAAUACUAAAAUAGUAUAUAAUAAUUUAUUGAAACUUAAUUAAGUUGGCGGUAUUUUAGUUCAUUUAGAGGAAUCUGUUUAAUAAUUGAUAAUCCACGAAUAAAUUUACUUAAUUUAAAAUUUUAUAUAUCGUUGUUAAAAAAAUAUUUUUAAAAAAAAAUAAUAUUUAAAAAUUUUUAUAAAAAUUAAUUCAGAUCAAGAUGUAGAUUAUAAUUAAGAAUCUAAUGGAUUACAAUAAAUUUAUUUAAAUAGAAAUAAAUUUUGAAAUAAUUAAUUAAAAGUGGAUUUAAAUGUAAUUUUAUUUAAUUUAUAUAAUGAUUCUGCUCGUG
rnacentral:rRNA from 1 species